rnacentral:rRNA from 1 species
ACAAGCCCUGGAAACGGGGUCUAAUACCGGAUACGACUACCGACCGCAUGGUCUGGUGGUGGAAAGCUCCGGCGGUGCAGGAUGAGCCCGCGGCCUAUCAGCUUGUUGGUGGGGUGAUGGCCUACCAAGGCGACGACGGGUAGCCGGCCUGAGAGGGCGACCGGCCACACCGGGACUGAGACACGGCCCAGACUCCUACGGGAGGCAGCAGUGGGGAAUAUUGCACAAUGGGCGAAAGCCUGAUGCAGCGACGCCGCGUGAGGGAUGACGGCCUUCGGGUUGUAAACCUCUUUCAGCAGGGAAGAAGCGAAAGUGACGGUACCUGCAGAAGAAGUACCGGCUAACUACGUGCCAGCAGCCGCGGUAAUACGUAGGGUGCGAGCGUUGUCCGGAAUUAUUGGGCGUAAAGAGCUCGUAGGCGGCUUGUCACGUCGGAUGUGAAAGCCCGGGGCUUAACCCCGGGUCUGCAUUCGAUACGGGCAGGCUAGAGUUCGGUAGGGGAGAUCGGAAUUCCUGGUGUAGCGCUGAAAUGCCSYGUUMCAGGAGGAACACCGGUGGSGAAAGGCGGAUCUNUGG